ensembl:lncRNA
AGAGAUUAGAAAAACACAGCAUCCAUCAAACAAACAUAAAUCCUGGUUAUUAUUUUUCUAGAAGAGUCCAGCAGCAGAGAGCAGACUCCCCUGGACCCAGCUGUGUCUCCAUGAAGAGUGACCACUCUAUGGCUCUACCUGUUAGGUUUCAGGAUGGAAAUCAAUCUGUUGAGAAGAGCCCAGAGCAGCAGCAGAGAGCAGACUCCCCUGGACCCAGCUGUGUCUCCAUGAAGAGUGACCACUCUAUGGGUCUACCUGUUAGGUUUAACGAUGGAAAUCAACCUAUUGAGAAGAGAAGAGUCCAGCAGCAGAGAGCAGACUCCCCUGGACCCAGCUGUGUCUCCAUGAAGAGUGACCACUCUAUGGCUCUACCUCUUAGGUUUAAAGACGGAAAUCAAUCUGUUGAGAAGAGCCCAGAGCAGCAGCAGAGAGCAGACUCCCCUGGACCCAGCUGUGUCUCCAUGAAGAGUGACCACUCUAUGGGUCUACCUGUUAGGUUUAACGAUGGAAAUCAACCUAUUAAGAAGAG